AUGAGUGCCUGCUUCUCUGACAUGAUUAAGGAUCAUUCCCUAGAUUUCCUUUGUCUUCAAGAGACUAUGAAAAAAAAGUUUCCUCCUAAGAAUCUCAGGAAAAUAGACCCCGCGGCUCAAUUUGACUGGAAUUGGAUUCCAUCAAUUGGCUAAGCAGGGGGGGUCCUCUGUGGUAUUAAGAAGGAGACCCUAGAAGUUAUAUCUUGGAUUCCUGGUAGGUUUUGUUUGCAAGCCAACCUAUAUGAUGUUAACCGUAAGAUUGUAUGGGCUCUCAUUACUGUAUAUGGAGCAGCCCAUGAUGACAGUAAGGAUGACUUGCUGGUAGAAUUAGCCGCGAUGUGUGCUCACACACAUGUCCCAUACANNNNNNNNNNNNNNNNNNNNAUCCUCAGAGAGGCCUGUGAUAAAAAUAAAACCUUGAAUCGAUCCCCAUAUGUGGAUAAAUUCAAUUCCAUCAUAAACUCCUUGAACCUUCGAGAAAUUUAUAUGGGGGGUGGCAAAUAUACGUGGACUAAUAACCAAAAACACCCUACCCUGGAAAAGCUCGACAGAGUCCUGAUGAGCUAUGAAUGGGAGGAUCUAUUCCCUUUGGUCACGGUUCGUAAGCUGGUGAGGGAUGUUUCAGACCACAAUCCACUUCUUUUGUCCUCGGGAGAGGAGAGACAAAAAAAGUCUCAUCAGCACGAGUUCAGAUUCGAGCUUAGCUGGCUGUGUGACGAUUUUUUUUACCCCAUUGCCAAGGAGAUUUGGGAGCAACCUGUCCGAACUGACGAUCCUAUUGAUAUUCUUAAUAUCAAACUGAAACGUCUCAAAAAAUACUUUAAAGGGUGGGGCUCGAAUAUUUUUGGCCAUGCCAGGAAGAGAAAAAAAGAAAUAAAGAGGGAGCUAGAAGAGAUAGAGAGUAAAGAAGAGGAAGGGCCUCUCGAACCUGAUUUAUAUGAGAGGAAAACUACACUGCAAAUAGAACUCAGCGAGAUUCUUUCCAAGGAAGAGCUGUAUUGGCUACAACAAUCGAAUGAACGUUGUCUCUUAAAAGGGGAUCGUAACACAACCUUUUACCAUAGAGUGGCUAAUGGUAAAAAAAAGAAAAAAUAUGAUCCCGUCCCUUACGGAUGGGGAUGUAGUGAUCGAGGGGACCACUAA
rnacentral:rRNA from 1 species